UUACAUACCGGAACAGGGUUUAUGACAGAUCAAGAAGGGUCGUGGCCUAGAUCAACGACUCACAUUGCACUUGGCGAGAGUGUUGGUCUAUCAUCUCCCCAAUUGGGAGAAUGGAUGUCAAAAUUUAUGGUAGAGAGGGUAUGCACUCGGCAUCCCGUG
rnacentral:snRNA from 3 species